AAUCUUCCACAAUGGACGAAAGUCUGAUGGAGCAACGCCGCGUGAGCGAAGAAGGUUUUCGGAUCGUAAAGCUCUGUUGCGAGGGAAGAACAAGUACGGGAGUAACUGCCCGUACCUUGACGGUACCUCGUCAGAAAGCCACGGCUAACUACGAGCCAGCAGCCGCGGUAAUACGUAGGUGGCAAGCGUUGUCCGGGGGUAUUGGGCGUAAAGCGAGCGCAGGCGGUCCUUUAAAUCUGAUGUGAAAGCCCACGGCUGAACCGUGGAGGGUCAUUGGAAACUGGAGGACUUGAGUACAGAAGAGGAAAGAGGAAUUCCACGUGUAGCGGUGAAAUGCGUAGAGAUGUGGAGGAACACCAGUGGCGAAGGCGGCUUUCUGGUCUGUAACUGACGCUGAGGCGCGAAAGCGUGGGGAGCAAACA
rnacentral:rRNA from 1 species